CCCGACCCAGAGUGUCGGCUCCGGGGCCCGCGGGCAGGUCCGACUCUCCGAUGCCACCUGUCGCUCAGGUCCGCGGAACCGGCCGCACCGCAACGAUCUCAGACACACCAAGGCGGGUAGGGUAAUCCAGUUUCCGGGACUCCGGAACUGCGGCUGUUCGGUAGGAAAGACCAAAAGCAAAUGGUGAACAGGAGAGAAGACACACAUGCAUGCACAAAACAGAGCCACCGCCGCCACCACCAGCUCUCCGGGAGACCGCGGGCCGACGGGCGGCCUGCUCCGAGUUCACGGGAGUCCUUGCUGCAGACGCCACCAUUCCAGAAUCCUUGGCCAGGGCCGACCACGGGUUCCCGCUGGAACAGCCUCGCGACUCAGGUCUGAAGCCUGUGCUCCCUGGCCUCUCGUUCCAUUCUGUGGUGUCCCCUCCCCUACGACGACACUGAACCCUGCCGCUGCUCCCCGCCGCCUUGCCCGGUCCAGCGAGGGAGCUUGGCGCAGGAGGUAAACCCAGGACGCUGGGGAAGACUUCCUGAGUGAGCGCUACCAUGUUUUCCAGCCCUUCAGCCAGAAGACGGAGGCUGGAGGCUGAAAACCCUUUGCCGGAGACAGACAGAGGCGCUUUCCAUUCGAUUCCCGUUUGGGAGAAUCCGAAAUGAGAGAUUACGAGCCCUGAAGACGGAGAUUUUGAAAGCACGGUGGGGGCGAUUGCGUACACCCCUUUCCUGCCCCCACUGAGCCACUGAGGAAACUCAAGGGCUAAAGUUGUUCAGUUGCCUUGAAGAGUUUCUCUCCAGAGGAAAGAGAAAGUUAAUGUGGAUUUUUCCUUAGUGUCUACAGAGCGUAAACUUUCCCAGUAGCGUCUUAGUCUUGGGUCAUUCACUCCUUUUGAGAGGAAUGAAUUGAAUUUCAGGUCUCUAUAAGUAUUUUCAGAUUUCAUCGGAUAUACCUCACUCCUGCACGACGCAGUCAUUUAAAGAUAUAUUUGCGUUUCCAAUAACAAACCCAAAUUA